rnacentral:rRNA from 1 species
GAUGAACGCUGGCGGCGUGCCUAAUACAUGCAAGUCGAGCGAACAGACGAGGAGCUUGCUCCUCUGACGUUAGCGGCGGACGGGUGAGUAACACGUGGAUAACCUACCUAUAAGACUGGGAUAACUUCGGGAAACCGGAGCUAAUACCGGAUAAUAUAUUGAACCGCAUGGUUCAAUAGUGAAAGACGGUUUUGCUGUCACUUAUAGAUGGAUCCGCCCCGCAUUAGCUAGUUGGUAAGGUAACGGCUUACCAAGGCAACGAUGCGUAGCCGACCUGAGAGGGUGAUCGGCCACACUGGAACUGAGACACGGUCCAGACUCCUACGGGAGGCAGCAGUAGGGAAUCUUCCGCAAUGGGCGAAAGCCUGACGGAGCAACGCCGCGUGAGUGAUGAAGGUCUUCGGAUCGUAAAACUCUGUUAUUAGGGAAGAACAAAUGUGUAAGUAACUAUACACGUCUUGACGGUACCUAAUCAGAAAGCCACGGCUAACUACGUG